rnacentral:misc_RNA from 1 species
GUAGGAGCUGCCGAAGGCUGCGAUCUUUGAUCUUGAUUCUUUAUCGCCUGGAAAAAGAUCGCAGCCUUCGGCAGCUCCUAC